AUACGUAGGGGGCGAGCGUUGUCCGGAAUGACUGGGCGUAAAGGGCGUGUAGGCGGCUUUAUAAGUCUGGAGUGAAAGUCCUGCUUUCAAGGUGGGAAUUGCUUUGGAGACUGUAGAGCUUGAGUGCGGAAGAGGUAAGUGGAAUUCCCAGUGUAGCGGUGAAAUGCGUAGAGAUUGGGAGGAACACCAGUGGCGAAGGCGACUUACUGGGCCGUAACUGACGCUGAGGCGCGAAAGCGUGGGGAGCGAACAGGAUUAGAUACCCUGGUAGUCCACGCUGUAAACGAUGAAUGCUAGGUGUAGCGGGUAUCGACCCCUGCUGUGCCGCAGUAAACACAAUAAGCAUUCCGCCUGGGGAGUACGGCCGCAAGGUUGAAACUCAAAUGAAUCGACGGGG
rnacentral:rRNA from 1 species